rnacentral:rRNA from 1 species
UCGAGCGAGAAGGCCUUCGGGCUGAGUACAGCGGCGGACGGGUGAGUAACGCGUAGGAAUCUACCUGGUAGUGGGGGACAACAUGGGGAAACUCAUGCUAAUACCGCAUACGCCCUAUGGGGGAAAGCGGGGGACCUUCGGGCCUCGCGCUAUCAGAUGAGCCUGCGUAGGAUUAGCUUGUUGGUGAGGUAAAGGCUCACCAAGGCGACGAUCCUUAGCUGGUCUGAGAGGAUGAUCAGCCACACUGGAACUGAGACACGGUCCAGACUCCUACGGGAGGCAGCAGUGGGGAAUAUUGCGCAAUGGGCGAAAGCCUGACGCAGCCAUGCCGCGUGUGUGAAGAAGGCCUUCGGGUUGUAAAGCACUUUCAAUUGGGAAGAAAGGUUGCGUGUUAAUAGCACGUAGCUGUGACGUUACCUUUAGAAGAAGCACCGGCUAACUCCGUGCCAGCAGCCGCGGUAAUACGGAGGGUGCGAGCGUUAAUCGGAAUUACUGGGCGUAAAGCGCGCGUAGGCGGUUUGUUAAGUCGGAUGUGAAAGCCCCGGGCUCAACCUGGGAAUUGCAUUCGAUACUGGCCGACUAGAGUACGAGAGAGGGAGGUAGAAUUCCACGUGUAGCGGUGAAAUGCGUAGAUAUGUGGAGGAAUACCGGUGGCGAAGGCGGCCUCCUGGCUCGAUACUGACGCUGAGGUGCGAAAGCGUGGGUAGCAAACAGGAUUAGAUACCCUGGUAGUCCACGCCGUAAACGAUGUCUACUAGCCGUUGGGAGACUUGAUUUCUUAGUGGCGCAGCUAACGCACUAAGUAG